rnacentral:lncRNA from 1 species
GGCACUCGGAUUUUUUGAUCGAGGUCAUCGUCGUCUCCGCUCGCCAUUCCUUUUGCAUUCUCCUCCUCCCCCUCCCAAGCUCGUCGUCUCCGCCCACUAAUCCACCAUUUUGGCACCGUCUCUCCCGAGCUCGUCCAGGUGAGGCGAUUAUGUGAUCUGUUCCUAUUUUUCCUCCUCGUUUCUCUGUUGAUCUUUGUUGGAUAUUGAUUUGCAUCUGAAUGAUUUCUCCUCCCUCUUCCUCCGCCACUAGCUUCCUGUCCCCGAGGCCAUUACUAACUGCCGCAGGGCCCGUGCGCCUUCACCGAUUUGACGGCGUGAGAAACCUAGCAGCUCGCGCUCGCACGGGGCCGAUCUGAGAGGUACGGAGAUAUCGGGCACCUCUGAUUUUGCGUCGUCGCAGAUCACACACGCCCCGUCGUUGUUUUCCAAAGGAAACACCGGGCAGCAGAGGAGUGGCUAGGAGCUACUACCUGCGCCAGCGACGAGUCAAGUCAAUUAACCAAAGCAGUUUUCCUCUAGAUUCACGUAGGCUCGAUCGAUGGUCAGGCACGAGGAGGGGUAUGACUUGACUCUGUUUGGGACUGUUUUGAUCGUCACAGAUCGCAAAUUGGCAAUAAAAAGGCCGGAUUGUUUGUAGUGAUGCGCGCACCACGAGCUUGGACCUUUUGAACAUUUCUGAACCAUAAACUAAAGAAUAGCAUGUGCGUCCAGGCAUCCCUAGUACUGGAGGCAGCUCCUGAUAAGUAAUAUUACAUUGAACGAGAGAUUCCCUUGUACCAAGAUCUGCCCAUUCAUGCUUCACAGCUAUAUUAUUUUGUCCUAUGAUAAUAAAGUUCUUAUUUUUCAAUAAAGAAGUAGCAGCCAGAGAUCUACAAGAUCGUGUAAAGAAAGAAGAAAGGGUGAGAGUUUUGCCUGCAAGGUCGCGUGUAGCCAAUAAAAAACCAGAAGGACAAUUUUUUUGGAAUAAGAUGAGCUAGGUGCUUCAUCUGCCUCUAUGAUACAGGUUCUAUUCUCCUUUCCAUGUAAUUAUGUUCCAAAAGUAAUUAAUCUAGAGCAACCUAAACUAUGCAUGUAUUGUAAUUCUGAGCAUACGUUGCUGUCCUCAAUUCUGUGAGCGGCUUGCUUCACAGUACAUGCAUCUUCUAAAUUUCUUUGUAUAUACGCGCCUAUGAUGCGCACACUUCUCUAUGGCCGUGGCAAGUGGCCGUACUGAGCAGACAAUGGA